UUAAGGCCACGUCCACAUGUACCAAAACAGUCUUUUUUUUUACCCGUCUUCCCUGGAUUCGUUUCAAAAAUAGUUGCGUCCAAACGAAUCCAUUUGUAAAUGACUCAACGCGCUACUUCAUAUUCCAGGCCUAUAGGUGGCGCUGUUUCUGCUACAGAAAUUCACCAAAAAACGGAGAAGAGCAUAGUCACUUCCACUUCCCAUCAUAACAUGACUAGCUAGACUGUAACGUUCUCUUAAUACAUCCAUGGACUAUAAUAACUUUCACCACUGCUCAUUUUAUAAAGGCUCAUCGCAAGAAAACGUGUCUUUCUUUACAUUGUAUAAUGUGCUGUCAAUUCUGUCUGCCAUCAGACAUGAUUGCAGCGUGCUAGCUAGUAGAGCUAAGGUUAGCUCAGCUAGCU